GAAGAUGUGAGGCCAUGGGGAGGCAUUUUGGGCAAUGAUCUGAUAUUUCACGUUGAAUCAAUCUGAAGAGCAUUUAUUCCGUACACUUUACCUCCGUACUGCGGUGGAAUGAAAGAGGAUCAGACACCGCUGACAAAGUGAGGAACCAUCUGGGCGUCAAGUUCUGCAGAGAAAAGAUUUAGCUGGACCUGGUGGUGGACAAAACCUUUUAAUAGGGCAUAGAAUCCUGUUGUUUUCGUGAUGUAACCCAAGAGCUUCGCUUGUGGACAGAGACAAUGGGGGGUAUUUACUAGAGACAAGAUCCAGGAACCCGGUAUCUCCUUCCCUGACAUCCACUUUGUACAAGGCGUUGCAUUCGUGAGCAUUCCUGUGAAGUCAUGGCUUAUAUAAAAAGACCACGAGGGGGCCACAUACUACUCAGAACAUCAUCCUGUCUGGAUGCAGCAUCUUCCUUGUCCCAGCUAAAGCACUUCUCUGUGCUCACCCCUGUCCUAUCAGACUGCAGCAUGAAAACAGAGAGGAGGGGAUUACAGAGCAGCUUGCAUUGAUUGGCUGAAGAGACCAAGCACAGCACAGCAGACUCACGGAAGAAGAAGAGUCAGUCAACCAGAGAGAUCCAUAACAUGUAGAUAUAAGGGUUCAUGUUGCCCAUGUGCUUUUCUUCAAGUACAAAAGGAGAAGAGAGAAGAUGGAUUCUUUAUGAUAGAUUGGAAAAUUCAUGGUCAUUACGAUGCUUGACAUGAAGCUUUAAUAGGUUUUUCUUAAGAAUGAUCAUGAGGUCCCUAGGAACUAAUAUCGGAGGUGGUAGAGUAACCACCUUUUCUACCCAAAUAUUCUGUACCAGCCAGGUUUGUGUCUAUAAAGAAGGCAUACUUUGGGGACAUGACUUCCCACAGAGUGUGAUUUUUCUGAGAAUUAUUCAUUACUGUAGUUGUCAGGACUUUUUAUACAUUUAAGUACAGAGGCUAAAAGUCUAUGGACACCUUUAAAUGCAUUUUGUUUUUAUUAUUGCAUUGUAGUAUAUUGGUAUAAAAACAUUUAG